rfam:Salmo salar isolate Sally breed double haploid chromosome ssa13, whole genome shotgun sequence.
UACACUCACUAACUGUAAGACGCUCUGGGUAAGAGUGUCUGCUAAAUGACUGAAA